UCUGAAUUAAAAUGUGGAACUUGUCAAGCUAGGAUUCUGUCCUGUGCAACAUUGAUCAGGAUGUGUAACACCAAACUUUGUACAAACUAUUAGAUAAGAGCAACAUAUAUGUAUAUAGUCAUCAGCAACCUUGUGCAUUCUAGGAUAUUGUACUACAAGUAUACAACCUGAGAACUGAUGAGUGAAAAACUAUAUGCUUCUAACCUCUGAGAUUACGAGGAUGAUAGGAAAGCCGUUGUCAACAACUUUGUGGUCUGAAAUAUUUCGGAGGCAUAGAUGGGCAUCUUUCAUUCAUAUGGGGGUACGGAUCUAUACUAUUGUAUUCAGGUAGUUCCAUCCGGUACUCUCCUCGAAUUUGACAGAAAGGAAGGCUCACAUUAUCAUCUGCAUUGCACCACUUUGGCAACCGGCUUGAAUUGUUCUCGAAAAACUUGAGAGAGUAAGCAUCUUUAAUCGUGAAUUCUGUAACCUGAAUUGAGCUUGCAAAUUCACCAAAUAGCCCUGCUUCCUUGUACAUCUCAAGAAUAAAAGCAACACAUGAUGUCGACUUUCCAUCACUAUAAACCCAAUCAUCCUUCUCUGGAAUAGCCAACAAUUUGGCAAAAGAGAAUCCACGCUUUUCAACUUCCACAAGAAUAUCAGGAAGACUAAGGUUCUUA
rnacentral:misc_RNA from 1 species